rnacentral:rRNA from 1 species
UGGGGAAUUUUGGACAAUGGGCGAAAGCCUGAUCCAGCAAUGCCGCGUGUGUGAAGAAGGCCUUCGGGUUGUAAAGCACUUUUGUCCGGAAAGAAAUCCUUGGCUCUAAUACAGUCGGGGGAUGACGGUACCGGAAGAAUAAGCACCGGCUAACUACGUGCCAGCAGCCGCGGUAAUACGUAGGGUGCAAGCGUUAAUCGGAAUUACUGGGCGUAAAGCGUGCGCAGGCGGUUUGCUAAGACCGAUGUGAAAUCCCCGGGCUAACCUGGGAACUGCAUUGGUGACUGGCAGGCUAGAGUAUGGCAGAGGGGGGUAGAAUUCCACGUGUAGCAGUGAAAUGCGUAGAGAUGUGGAGGAAUACCGAUGGCGAAGGCAGCCCCCUGGGCCAAUACUGACGCUCAUGCACGAAAGCGUGGGGAGCAAAACAGGAUUAGAUACCCUGGUAGUCCACGCCCUAAAACGAUGUCAACUAGUUGUUGGGGAUUCAUUUCCUUAGUAACGUAGCUAACGCGUGAAGUUGACCGCCUGGGGAGUACGGUCGCAAGAUUAAAACUCAAAUGAAUUGACGGGGUCAUAGCUGUUUCCU